rnacentral:rRNA from 1 species
UACGUAGGCAGCAAGCGUUGUUCGGAGUUACUGGGCGUAAAGGGUGUGUAGGCGGUUCUUUAAGUUUGGUGUGAAAUCUCCCGGCUCAACUGGGAGGGUGCGCCGAAUACUGAGGGACUAGAGUACGGGAGAGGAAAGUGGAAUUCCUGGUGUAGCGGUGAAAUGCGUAGAUAUCAGGAGGAACACCGGUGGUGUAGACGGCUUUCUGGACCGACACUGACGCUGAGACGCGAAAGCGUGGGGAGCGAACAGG